GAUGAACGCUGACAGAAUGCUUAACACAUGCAAGUCGAUGGGGAAGUGGUGCUUGCACCAUGGUAACCAUGGCGGACGGGUGAGUAACACGUAAGGAACUUACCUGCGGGACCGGGAUAACAGCAGGAAACUGCUGACAAGACCGGAUAAGGUCAUUAAGCUGCAUAGCUUAGCGAUGAAAGGAGACGCCUGCGGAGAGCCUUGCGUCCUAUUAGCUAGUUGGAGGGGUAACGGCCCACCAAGGCGAAGAUAGGUAGCCGUCCUGAGAGGGUGGACGGCCACAAGGGGACUGAGAGGCGGCCGUUAGUACUACGGGAGGCAGCAGUGGGGAAUAUUGGAGAAUGGGGGCAACCCUGAUCCAGCACUUCUGUGUGCAAGAAGACGGUUGUCGGAUUGUAAAGUGCUUUCAGAAGAGAAGAAGGAAGUGACGGUACCUGCAGAAGAAGCGACGGCUAAAUACGUG
rnacentral:rRNA from 1 species